rnacentral:rRNA from 1 species
AUCUCCUACGGGGGGCAGCAGUCGGGAAUAUUGCGCAAUGGAGGAAACUCUGACGCAGUGACGCCGCGUAUAGGAAGAAGGUUUUCGGAUUGUAAACUAUUGUCGUUAGGGAAGAUAAAAGACUGUACCUAAGGAGGAAGCCCGGGCUAACUAUGUGCCAGCAGCCGCGGUAAUACAUAGGGGGCAAGCGUUAUCCGGAAUUAUUGGGUGUAAGGGAUGCGAAACCGGAAGAACAA